GUUUGUUACCCAUGCUGCAUGCACUGGUAUCCAUGCGCCUCAGCUGGGCUGCUGAUUUCACCCCUAAUUCAGGCUCACUCAGCCAUUGGGCCUGCUUCCAGAGAGCCCAGCUGCAUCCCUUUCCCCCUUCAGACCUAGUUUAAAGCCCUCUCAACAAGUUCUGCUAGUUCAUGAGCUAAAAACUUUCUGCCCUUAACAGAGAGAUGGAGCCCAUCUGGUUCCAGCAGGCCAAGUACAGUAAAAGUUGUCCCAUAAUCAAGGAAUUCAAAAUUCUGCAGGUGGCAAUACCUCUCACAGAUGAAUCAUAAUUGGGAGACUCACUGGACAGAUAAUUUUCUUCUAAAUCAUGUGGCUGACUCCAGAUCCAGGGGCUCAUACCUGUUCCGAAGUGUCACCUGGCUGGGGAGUAGGGGUCAGGAGGAAUUUUUAUUAUUACCUCCUUGAGUGGAUAUCUACUCCCACUCCCCUUCAUCUAUCAGGUAUCCUUCUGUUGUCUAAGAGUAAGAGGUAUAAAAGACUGUGGGUACCAAGGAGAGCAUUGCUUCACUGCCAGAUCUCAUGGAACCAAGGAUUCAUUGUGACACUGCAGGGCCUUGGGGGACCAUGGCACCAUUGUGACACUGUGGGGCCCAAGGAGCCAAGGGAGUUUGUGAAACCAAGGGGUUCCCUGGAACCAAAAGAAUAUUGUGACACUCAUUUAAUCAUGGAGACCAGUGAGACACUCUGGGGCCUUAUGGAACCAUGGUGACACCAAGCUGUCUGGGAGUGCUGAUCACCUGGAGGGUAGGAGGGCUCUGCAGAGGGCCCUGGACAGGCUGGAUCCAGGGGCCAAAUCCAACAAGCUCUGCACACAGACAUUGCUGCUGCAGCUCCAGAUGAGGCAACAAAAGGGCAUCUCUGCAGAAAUCUCUGCUGGGAGAUCCUUUACUUCCUUUUAAGCCACUGAGAAUGCAGCCCCUCACUGUCAACGGUCUGUGGCCACAGUGAACGUGGAGAGAAACAAAAUGAACAAAGGCACAAACAAUGACAUUUCUUUGUGGAAUAAAAUAUAAAAGUAAAACAAAAAAAAAAAAAAGGAACCUCCAAAAUGAAACCAACAACAAUUGUCAAAGUUUAUUUUUAUUACAAAUGAUUUGUGGAAAUUUGCCAGCAGUUUAAUGUUUCUGAAAGCAUCGAGUUAUCAGUCCCCACACUGCAGCCUUGAGCUCCUGGUUCCUCAGGCUGUAGAUGAGGGGGUUCAGGGCUGGAGGCACCACUGAGUACAGAAGUGAUAGGGCCAGAUCCAGGGAUGGGGAGGAGGUGGAGGGGGGCUUCAGGUAUGCAAUCCAAAUAGUGCUGACAAACAGAGAGAGAACAGCCAAGUGAGGGAGGCAGGUGGAAAAGACUUUGUGCCGUCCUUGCUCAGAGGGGAUCCUCAGCACAGCCCUGAAGAUCUGCACAUAGGAGAAAACAAUGAACACAAAACAACCAAGCCCUAAACAGGCACUAACUGCAACGAACCCAAGUUCCCUGAGGGAGCUGGAGUUUGAGCAUGUAAGUUUGAGGACUGGGGACACAUCACAGAAGAACUGGCCCAGGGCAUUGCCAUGGCACAGCG